rnacentral:tRNA from 1 species
GGGGCUGUGGGUUAACUUGGCUAUACUUCCUGGUUUGGGACCAGGCGAUCCCGGUUCAAACGAAAAGGGACAAAACGCCCUCUCCUGAACGUCCGGGCAGCCCCA